GGUAUAAGGCGAAUGCGUGAAGCGUAGCGAACUUAAAAGUAGCGAAGCGUGUGGAGUCACUGUCAGGAAAAGCCGCUAUUGCGUAUCAUGAACCCGUACCGUAAACCGACACAGGUGGAUGAGGAGAGAAUCCUAAGGCCGACGGAAGAAGCAUUGUUAAGGAAUUCGGCAAAAUGACCCCGUAACUUCGGGAGAAGGGGUGCCUACGAAUGUAGGCCGCAGAGAAUUGGCCCAAGCAACUGUUUAGCAAAAACACAGGUUUAUGCGAAACCGAAAGGUGAAGUAUAUGAGCUGACGCCUGGCCGGUGCUGGAAGGUUAAGGGGAGAGCUUAGAGGCAACUCGAAGGUUCGAACUUAAGCCCCAGUAAACGGCGGCCGUAACAAUAACGGUCCUAAGGUAGCGAAAUUCCUUGUCGGGUAAGUUCCGACCCGCACGAAAGGCGUAAUGAUUUGGGCACUGUCUCGACAAUGCAUCCGGUGAAAUUGAAAUACCAGUGAAGAUGCUGGUUACCCGCGCCAGGACGGAAAGACCCCAUGGAGCUUUACUCCAGUUUGAUGCUGGGAUUCGGUACUGCAUGUACAGGAUAGGCGGGAGACUAGGAAGAUAUAACGCCAGUUGUAUCAGAGUCGCUGUUGGGAUACCGCCCUUGUAGUACUGGGUUUCUAACCUGCCACCGUGAACCGGUGGAGGGACAACGUCAGGCGGGGAGUUUGACUGGGGCGGUCGCCUCCGAAAGGGUAUCGGAGGCGCUCAAAGGUUCCCUCAGAAUGGUUGGAAACCAUUCGAAGAGUGCAAAGGCAGAAGGGAGCUUGACUGCGAGGUCGACGGACCGAGCAGGUACGAAAGUAGGACUUAGUGAUCCGGUGGUAGAAAGUGGGAUUGCCAUCGCUCAACGGAUAAAAGCUACCCUGGGAUAACAGGCUAAUCACUCCCAAGAGUUCACAUCGACGGAGUGGUUUGGCACCUCGAUGUCGGCUCAUCGCAUCCUGGGGCUGUAGCAGGUCCCAAGGGUUGGGCUGUUCGCCCAUUAAAUCGGUACGCGAGCUGGGUUCAGAACGUCGUGAGACAGUUCGGUCCCUAUCCGGCGCGGGCGUAGGAUAUCUGAAAGGAGCUGGCCUUAGUACGAGAGGACCGGGCUGGACGGACCGCUGGUGUAUCUGUUGUCAUACCAAUGGCAUAGCAGGGUAGCCAAGUCUGGAAGGGAUAAACGCUGAAGGCAUCUAAGCGUGAAGCCCCCCUUAAGAUAAGAUAUCCCUGGAGUUAAUCCAGUAAGACCCCUUGAAGACGACGAGGUAGAUAGGGCAGAGGUGGAAGUGUGGUAACACAUGGAGCUGACUGUCACUAAUAGGUCGAGGGCUUGACCG
rnacentral:rRNA from 1 species